UAAAGAGUGGGGAGACGGUAUAUAAUAUUGUCUCUUCAUAGGGAAGAAUAAUGAGGUACGUCAAAUUCAAAGGCAGAGAUAUCGUUUCAGUCGUCAUUUCUCCAUUGACGGUCUGAUUGUUGCUCGUCCACAU